GAUGGACGCUGGCGGCGUGCCUAAUACAUGCAAGUCGAGCGAACAGAUGAGGAGCUUGCUCCUCUGACGUUAGCGGCGGACGGGUGAGUAACACGUGGAUAACCUACCUAUAAGACUGGGAUAACUUCGGGAAACCGGAGCUAAUACCGGAUAAUAUAUUGAACCGCAUGGUUCAAUAGUGAAAGACGGUUUUGCUGUCACUUAUAGAUGGAUCCGCGCCGCAUUAGCUAGUUGGUAAGGUAACGGCUUACCAAGGCAACGAUGCGUAGCCGACCUGAGAGGGUGAUCGGCCACACUGGAACUGAGACACGGUCCAGACUCCUACGGGAGGCAGCAAUAGGGAAUCUUCCGCAAUGGGCGAAAGCCUGACGGAGCAACGCCGCGUGAGUGAUGAAGGUCUUCGGAUCGUAAAACUCUGUUAUUAGGGAAGAACAAAUGUGUAAGUAACUAUGCACGUCUUGACGGUACCUAAUCAGAAAGCCACGGCUAACUACGUG
rnacentral:rRNA from 1 species